GGUUAAAUUUCUGUAGCUUUAGAGGACGGGAGACUUCAUGACUUCAAUGCCAAGAAAAGUUACAGAGGCCUGCUGUACCUGAAAAUCAAGUUUGAGCUUCAAGAAUAAAGGCCAUGUUUUAAAAACAGCUGUAACACCAGUGAGGUGCUAGUGAGAACCCAGAACAAUUUCUAAGGAGAAUGGCUAUUGAAUGAUGGGAUCAGAAAUUAGGAGAGAAAUAAGGACCCUGGGCCAGGGAAAGAAAUGAACGAAGAUGCCACAUUAUGCCCAGAACUACUUCUCUCAUUCAAUAAUAAAGGCUUUGUUGUUGGGUCAACUUUUGUUAUGCUCAACUCUUUCCUUCCUGAGGAUGGGCUCUUUCUCAGGAGGCUCUUAUACUCCCAAUAAAUGCACUGCUAAUCUGAUGAAGCUCUAUUUUGUAGCUAUGCCAUCUGGAUCACAUAGUCUCCAAGGUGAGUAGAGCAGAGGAAGACAAAGAGCAGGGCAAGAUUGAGGUGGAAUUUACAUAUCCUUUGCACUUACUUUCUGCUGGCCUCAUCUGGUCGCAUGAUCCCACUCAGAUAGGUGCAUAGGGGCUUGGAAAAUUAGAAAAACGUGAAUAUUUGCAAUGCUUUCAGUAACCUGGAGAGGUACACAUGGCUGGUAUAACCAUUAUCUUCAUUUAAUGAUGUGAAAACACCUACCACAGGUCCUGGCACAUUGAGGGUCUUGAAUAAAUUCUGUCAGAUGAGUAGACAAGUGCACAAAAGGUUGAAGGAGUG